GCCUGCAUAACGCUGUGGCUUUCCGCUUCUAUUUUUCGUUCACUGCCUUGUGCUUCGUUGGAAAAUCGGUGAGCUAAAAAUAGAAUUCGGUUGCCACGCUUCAAGGG
ensembl:ncRNA mir-2282 mir-2282 stem loop